rnacentral:misc_RNA from 1 species
GUGAAUCAUCGAAUUUUUGAACGCACAUUGCGCUUCCUAGCAUUCCGGGAAGUAUGCCUGUUUGAGGGUCAGUAUUAACAAAGAAAUCUGUUUGGUUGCCAAUUGUGACGCUUCCGGAGUUUAGGCAAUCUCUACUUUUUUGGUUAAUGGGCUUAACUUGGACCUUUUUUGCGCAUUUUUAGACGUACAUACAUUUUUUUUUUCAUUGGUUUAUCCUCUAUGCCAAAAUCUUAUU